AGGAUCAUUAUCGUAUAUAAACUUGAACAGGCUGCUGCUGGCUCCCCUCUUGAUUGGGGGUGGGUGUGUGCACGCUUGUCUCAUCUUUAUUAUUUCUCCAACAUGUGCACGUUUUGUAGAUCCCUGGAGCCUUUUUAUGAAUGUUCUCAUUCGAGUGGGGACUGCUGUUGCCUUUUUUUUCUUUGAAAGGCCGGCUUUGCCUUUUCGCCCUUGGGGUCUAUGUCAUUUAUCACAACCUCUCAAACGAGUUUAGAAUGUCUAUUAUGAAAAAGUGAAAUAUACAACUUUCAGCAACGGAUCUCUUGGCUCUCGCAUCGAUGAAGAACGCAGCGAAAUGCGAUAAGUAAUGUGAAUUGCAGAAUUCAGUGAAUCAUCGAAUCUUUGAACGCAUCUUGCGCUCCUUGGUAUUCCGAGGAGCAUGCCUGUUUGAGUGUCAUUUGACUUAUCAACCGCUUCAUCUGAAGUGGCUUUGGAUUGUGGGGGUCUUUGCAGGCUUUUUUCAUCUAAAGGUCGGCUCUCCUGAAACGCAUUAGUGGCAUCUGAGCUGCUACUAUAGGUGUGAUAAAUUAUCUAUGCCUUUGGUAUGCUGCAUGAGCGGAUUGCGCUGCUUACAAUGACAAACUUGACAAACUUGACCUC
rnacentral:rRNA from 1 species